CUCAACCCCUUCGGGUUUCCGACCGGGUUGGACUUGGGCGUUGCCGAUCAUGGCUUGCCUUAAAUUUGUUAGCGGAGGAAGCACCGAGCCUGGCGUGAUAAGUUUCGCCGGUAUUAGGUCGUGGAGCCCGCUCAUAGCUGCCCUUGGGCACCUCUUUUGACUCUGACCUCAAAUCAGGUAGGACUACCCGCUGAACUUAA
rnacentral:misc_RNA from 1 species